ACUGUCUCAAGUAGUUUUGUAUCAUCUGCAAACUUUGCCACCUCACUGUUUACACUUUUUCUAGAUCAUGUAUGGAUAUGUCAAACAGCACUGGUUCCAGUACAGAUCCUUGGGGAAUGCUACUAUUUACCUCUCCACUGCAAAAACUGUUUAUUCCUCCUCUUUGUUUCCUGCUAUUUUUGUUACCAGUUACCGGUCCAGGAUUGGAUCUUCCGUCUUAUCCCAUGACAGCUUACUUUGCUUAUGAACCUUUGAAACCACCAUCCAACAGGUUCAGACAGGAAGUGAAGAAAUAUCCUGUAUCACUGGAAACUGGCAGGGGGAAUUGAGGGAGGCAGAAGGUAAUGACCCGAGAUAAAGGGUCUAGCAGUAACCAUCCAUCAGGAUACUGGGGUGACAGAACCGCUGCAACCUCACCUCACCACCUAGGAUGAGGCCAUAAGAAGCUUGCACCAAGAGCUGACCUGACUCUCCUGUCAUGGUGACAGAGGACUCCCUGGAGUCAGCAAGGACUGCAGCCAAGGGGGCCCCCUGGGGCCCUGAAAGCUUUUGUCUGUUACAAUGCCUGUGCUGAUCCAUUUCUCCCCCUUCCACAUGGAAAUCAAUACAGCCAGCCAGCCGGCAUCUGCCA